GAUGAAGAACGUAGCGAAAUGCGAUAAGUAAUGUGAAUUGCAGAAUUCAGUGAAUCAUCGAAUCUUUGAACGCACAUUGCGCCCCCUGGUAUUCCGGGGGGCAUGCCUGUCCGAGCGUCAUUACAACCCUCAAGCUCAGCUUGGUAUUGGGCCCCGCCGACCCGGCGGGCCCUAAAGUCAGUGGCGGUGCCGUCCGGCUCCGAGCGUAGUAAUUCUUCUCGCUCUGGAGGUCCGGUCGUGUGCUCGCCAGCAACCCCCACUUUUUUUCAGGUUGACCUCGGAUCAGGUAGGGAUACCCGCUGAACUUAAGCAUAUCAAUAAGCGGAGGA
rnacentral:misc_RNA from 1 species